AGUGAACGCUGGCGGUAGGCCUAACACAUGCAAGUCGAACGGCAGCACAGGAGAGCUUGCUCUCUGGGUGGCGAGUGGCGGACGGGUGAGGAAUACAUCGGAAUCUACUUUUUCGUGGGGGAUAACGUAGGGAAACUUACGCUAAUACCGCAUACGACCUACGGGUGAAAGCAGGGGACCUUCGGGCCUUGCGCGAUUGAAUGAGCCGAUGUCGGAUUAGCUAGUUGGCGGGGUAAAGGCCCACCAAGGCGACGAUCCGUAGCUGGUCUGAAAGGAUGGUCAGCCACACUGGAACUGAGACACGGUCCAGACUCCUACGGGAGGCAGAAGUGGGGAAUAUUGGACAAUGGGCGCAAGCCUGAUCCAGCCAUACCGCGUGGGUGAAGAAGGCCUUCGGGUUGUAAAGCCCUUUUGUUGGGAAAGAAAUCCAGCUGGCUAAUACCCGGUUGGGAUGACGGUACCCAAAGAAUAAGCACCGGCUAACUUCGUGCCAGCCGCCGCCGUAA
rnacentral:rRNA from 1 species